rnacentral:rRNA from 1 species
GUAGGGGNNUAGCGUUGUCCGGAUUUAUUGGGCGUAAAGCGCGUGUAGGCGGCCAGGUAGGUCCGUUGUGAAAACCCGAGGCUUAACCUCGGGACGCCGACGGAAACCAUCUGGCUAGGGUCCGGAAGAGGAGAGUGGAAUUCCCGGUGUAGCGGUGAAAUGCGCAGAUAUCGGGAAGAACACCCGUGGCGAAGGCGGCUCUCUGGGACGGUACCGACGCUGAGACGCGAAAGCGUGGGGAGCGAACAGGAUUAGAUACCCUGGUAGUCCACGCCGUAAACGAUGGGUGCUAGGUGUGGGAGGUGUCGACUCCUUCCGUGCCGAAGCUAACGCAUUAAGCACCCCGCCUGGGGAGUACGGCCGCAAGGCUA